AAGUCGCGUCUGUGAAAUGAGUAAAUGUAAAUCUUGACUCGGUCAGUUUGGUUUAUUUGGCCCACUGGAUCAGAACCAGCUGGUCGGAAACGCCCGUGAGAUCCGUACUCACCUUCCCCAGGAAGAGCACAAAGUCUCCGACGGCGUUGAUUGUGGCGACGCGCAGAGCGUUCUCCACCAGGAUCACGAAGGCGUCGCGUGCAGACGUGCAGAAACUGGUGCUGUUGAUGGCCGUGGCUGCAUAUGCAUUCUGGGAAAUAAGAGCACAGGUGAGACGUCAGGAUGAAACCGGACGAAGAGGAGGAGGAGGAGGAGGAGGAAGGUCUGAGUGUUACCUGGUUGAGAUAGUUGAGGCACUUCUCCAAACACCACAGACAGCAGAUACACGUCUUCAGCAGACAGCGAGCGCACGCGUUCUCCUGCGACACAGACGGAACACGAUGAAAAACCAAACCAGCAGAUCAGAAUCAGAGGCAGGCUAGCUGUUUCCAGUCUUUAUGCUAAGCUAAGCUAACCAGCUAUAGCAUAACAUGUAGCGUGAAGACAUGAGAGAGAGGAAGAGGAAUGACUACAUGUUGAACUGCUGCGGUACAGAAACACACAGCUUGUUGCUAUAAACCAACAGAGGCUCCUUUCAUGAACAACAUGGCUGCCGGAGGAGCUGUGACGUCCCCUGAUGAACCGUCUGCUGUCACGUUUUCAACACUGGAUACACUGAGACACAGCAGCCAUGACGGAGGACAAAUGGAGGCGAGUGGCACCAACGACGCUGGACUUAAUGCUGCCUUUGUUACUGUACUCUGAGUGUGGACAGUAUGUAUGCUGGCCGUGUGCAGACAUUAAAUCAUCACCAUGACGUGACGGCGAGCGCACGA